AUUGAACGCUGGCGGCAGGCUUAACACAUGCAGGUCGAGCGGGGGAAGGUAGCUUGCUACCGGACCUAGCGGCGGACGGGUGAGUAAUGCUUAGGAAUCUGCCUAUUAGUGGGGGACAACAUCUCGAAAGGGAUGCUAAUACCGCAUACGUCCUACGGGAGAAAGCAGGGGAUCUUCGGACCUUGCGCUAAUAGAUGAGCCUAAGUCGGAUUAGCUAGUUGGUGGGGUAAAGGCCUACCAAGGCGACGAUCUGUAGCGGGUCUGAGAGGAUGAUCCGCCACACUGGGACUGAGACACGGCCCAGACUCCUACGGGAGGCAGCAGUGGGGAAUAUUGGACAAUGGGGGGAACCCUGAUCCAGCCAUGCCGCGUGUGUGAAGAAGGCCUUAUGGUUGUAAAGCACUUUAGGCGAGGAGGAGGCUACUUUAGUUAAUACCUAGAGAUAGUGGACGUUACUCGCAGAAUAAGCACCGGCUAACUCUGUGCCAGCCGCCGCAGUAA
rnacentral:rRNA from 1 species